CAAGAUUUUUGCAACCACAGAUACAUUCCUGUGUCAAGAUGAUCCAGGAGUCACAGUGGGCUAAGGUGCAAAAGGCGUCACUAUGGAGAUGCGGGGCCGAAGGUUCUGUUUCCAUGGGAACCACCUCUAGCAAGACUCCUCGGAGUUGCCGGUGUCCUGGAAUGACAGGCAGUACCUGCAACUUUGCCUUCAAUCACCUCCUCCAGCUCAGCCUCACGUUGCAAUGCCUCAGGUGACACCUGGGGGGCGCCAGGGAAGCAUAUUAUGAUUAUGCUCAUGUUGUCCAGACUGCCCUGUGGGUGGAGACAGAGAACAAGAUUCAGACUUGUGACACCACUGAGCUGAGAUCUGGCACUUCUGUUGAAGUUCAUGAGGGAGUUUCUUCAGGGUUAAAAAAAAAAAUCAACUAAAAUUUAAAUUUAUAACACGUUCACUAAUAAACCAAAGGAAAUCUACAUAUCAGUAAAAUUAAUUCAGAUAGGGCUUAAAAACUAAUUGCUAUUCCUUCAUUGGCAAAAAACAAAGGAUUACAUUUUAGGACAA